UAUAGCUCAGUUGGUAGAGUGCUUGCCUCACAUGCACAAGGCCCUGGGUUCAAUCCCCAGUA
rnacentral:tRNA from 1 species